rnacentral:tRNA from 1 species
GGCAGUGUAGCUCAGUGGUAGAGCAUAUGCAGAGCAUGCCUCAAGGCCCUGGGAUAGAUUCCCAGCACUGCAA